rnacentral:lncRNA from 1 species
GAGAGUUGAGAUCAGAAAGAGAUAUUGUUGUUUUAAAGAGAUAUUCGCGUGGAAGCAUAAUCAUUGCCAGUGAGAGUUUUCUAUAUUAUUAGAAGCUUAUAUUAUAAGGGAAGUAGGUAACCUUAUAAGGAAGUAGGUAACCGGUGUUGGCGAAAGGGGAAGUAUGGUGAAGUCGAUAGCUGCCUGCGGUGGUAUUGUAGACGAGAGGGGUUCCGCCUCUACUUGAUUGAUUUCUUUCUUUAGAAAUAAUAAUAAAAAGAUGCCUUUCGCCGCCCCACAAAGUAAGUCAACAACACUACCCGAGCCUACCCAUCCAAAAGUGCUUUCUUAGACCAUCAAAACCCAUCCAAAAGUGUUUUCUUAGACCAUCAAUCUUAUAGGAAUAAGUGACUUUUUAGGCCCCAAUGGGGGUACUCGAUGUCAUAUUUCCCAUAAAACUUAUCAAGAUGCUAAGUGGAAUCAGU